GAGUUUGAUCCUGGCUCAGAUUGAACGCUGGCGGCAUGCCUUACACAUGCAAGUCGAACGGCAGCACGGGAGCAAUCCUGGUGGCGAGUGGCGAACGGGUGAGUAAUACAUCGGAACGUGCCCAAUCGUGGGGGAUAACGCAGCGAAAGCUGUGCUAAUACCGCAUACGAUCUACGGAUGAAAGCAGGGGACCGCAAGGCCUUGCGCGAAUGGAGCGGCCGAUGGCAGAUUAGGUAGUUGGUGGGGUAAAGGCUCACCAAGCCAACGAUCUGUAGCUGGUCUGAGAGGACGACCAGCCACGCUGGGACUGAGACACGGCCCAGACUCCUACGGGAGGCAGCAGUGGGGAAUUUUGGACAAUGGGCGAAAGCCUGAUCCAGCAAUGCCGCGUGCAGGAUGAAGGCCUUCGGGUUGUAAACUGCUUUUGUACGGAACGAAACGGUCUUUUCUAAUACAGAAGGCUAAUGACGGUACCGUAAGAAUAAGCACCGGCUAACUACGUGCCAGCAGCCGCGGUAAUACGUAGGGUGCAAGCGUUAAUCGGAAUUACUGGGCGUAAAGCGUGCGCAGGCGGUUAUGUAAGACAGUUGUGAAAUCCCCGGGCUCAACCUGGGAAUUGCAUCUGUGACUGCAUAGCUAGAGUACGGUAGAGGGGGAUGGAAUUCCGCGUGUAGCAGUGAAAUGCGUAGAUAUGCGGAGGAACACCGAUGGCGAAGGCAAUCCCCUGGACCUGUACUGACGCUCAUGCACGAAAGCGUGGG
rnacentral:rRNA from 2 species